AGAUGAUGUGGAAGGAAAGUGGAAGUUCCCAGUUCAAAAAGAAUCCUAGGGCAGAUCACAUUCCUCAAAAGAAUUAAGUUAAUAUCUAAUCGACUUCCUAAUUUCUAUAUGUGUUUCUCAAGGUCUUCUCAACACACAACUUCACAUUCAUAGGGUGAGAUGGUAUGACACUCGAGCGUAUUUGAGACAUAAUUCCAUUAACCUCUUGCUGGGCUCACCUGCCUUCAACCAGUGAGGAACAUCAAGAGAUCAGAGAUUAGCUGAACUCAGCUUUAACCCUUCAAAGAAACUGUGUAGCUCCAGGAAGAAAAGUUAUUUAAAUGAUACUCCCAAAGAAAAGGCAGAGGAAAGGUGCUCCUGUGUAAUUUUUCCUAAGGAUAAAGAGGGAAUUUUUUUCAGAGACAAUUUCCUAUGGAAGCAGAGUACUUAAUAUUUCAUGUAAAAACAUCAUCAACGUAUGAAUAUGUUAAAGGUAAAGAAGAUUAUGGUUAACAGACUUUAAACAGAAGACCAAAAUUACAGAUUUCAAAUUGGAAACAGACUCGUGGUCGUGUUCCUGAGAGGCCCCUGGAACUCUCAGUAGCCCUCUUCUACCCAGUACAGCGAAAUCGGGACUUUAAAACAGAAGGACCCGAGAUUUCGCGCGGCGGGCAAAACAUCUCAUCCUUGAUCGGGACGCGCCAGCCUUACCCUGACAGCUCCUCGGGUAUCCUUCCCGCCCCAACUCAGAAAUUUUGAAUAUGACCUCACUUUCUAGAGUAGCAUCGAACAGGGGCCUCCGAAAGACACCUUUGGCUUGAACUACCAAAAAGCACCCACUCUCCCUCUUAAGAAACUACGCGGUUAGUCUCCGGGUUACUUUCACUGAGA
ensembl:lncRNA